rnacentral:snRNA from 1 species
ACAAUUUAGUAUAAAUUCAAUAUGUCAUAUAAAUCUUUUGCCUUUUACUAAAGAUUUUCGUGGAGGGGAAUGACGCUGAAUAUAUAAACCAAUUUUUGAUUUGCCUGAUUUCAACAAGUCA